AUAUAUAUCUCUUUUCAGCUAUAAAAUAGCAUAUUUAUCUAGAAAAUGCUUAUUUACAGUGAAAUAUAGGUAAAUAUAGCGGUUUAUAAAUAUGAAUUUAUGAAAUUUGAUUUCGUACGGGGCUGUCGAUAUUGCCUCCGGCAAUUUCUUCGUACAUGGUAACAAGGAAAAGAAUGGAUAAUGUAAGUGAUCUUAACGGGCAAAUAGGUUUUCAGCAGAACAGAGAAUGAAAUGAGAGAUGAUGAGUUUCACAUUAUAGGCUUUUGAUACGAAUAGGUGUUUCGUACGAGUCGGCGUAAGCUAUGUUUUUCACGGCUUCGUCUCAGAUCAACAAACUUCA